rnacentral:rRNA from 1 species
AUGCACCAAAACCACCUCGACACGGACACCCAGUCUCUGCUCAUCGUCGUCGACUCCGUCCUCGCCGACGCGCAGGCCACGGAGUGGGCGGAUGCCCGUCCCGCUCUGGUCGUGCCGCCCCAAGCGGCCGCGGCCUCGUCGCCCCCCACGCUCGUUGCGGCACCGGAUCUCGCAGAGGCGACGCCGCAGCCGCAAGAGGAGGGGUCCACGUCGACGAUGCUUCUUCCGCUCCCUGCCUCGGUGGCGGCAGCGAGCCCGCCUCCGCCUCUCGCCGGGUCCGACGCCGAGCAGGGGCUGGAGCAGCUCUCCAGGGUUCUCGCCUCCCUGGGGUACAACGAGUUGGCGUCGGAGGCGCCGCUCCUCGCCCUCUCGCUGCCGCUCGCGAGGUGGCCAGGGGCGAUCACCGUCUUCGCGGCCCCCAACUCCUUCCUCCAGGCCUCCUGCCCCAUGUGCUCGCGCCGAGACCUCCUCGAGCAGCACAUCGCCAUGGGCUACUACCCCUACUCCGAGCUCACCGCCGCCGCCACCAUGAAGAUCCCGUCCGCCUCCGUCGGCUUCUGCAUCCAGGUCCUCACCGAGCGGGGCCCCUUCGGCAUCCACUACGCCAAGAUCUACGCCGAUGGCAUCGAGGUGUCCCACCCCGAGCUCUACAACGACGGCCGCUACGUUGUCCACGGCAUCCACGGCUUCCUGCGCCCGCUCACCCACUCCUGCUUCGGCGGCCCGCACCACCACCUCCUCACCGGCACCGCCCGCUCCGCCGCUGCCUCCGCGGCGACCGCCUGUCAGGCCUGCCCAAAGCGGAAGCUCAUCUGA